CCUACGGGUGGCUGCAGUGAGGAAUAUUGGUCAAUGGACGAGAGUCUGAACCAGCCAAGUAGCGUGAAGGAUGACUGCCCUAUGGGUUGUAAACUUCUUUUAUAUGGGAAUAAAACGUUCCACGUGUGGGAUUUUGUAUGUACCAUAUGAAUAAGGAUCGGCUAACUCUGUGCCAGCAGCCGCGGUAAUACGGAGGAUCCGAGCGUUAUCCGGAUUUAUUGGGUUUAAAGGGAGCGUAGGUGGAUUGUUAAGUCAGUUGUGAAAGUUUGCGGCUCAACCGUAAAAUUGCAGUUGAAACUGGCAGUCUUGAGUACAGUAGAGGUGGGCGGAAUUCGUGGUGUAGCGGUGAAAUGCUUAGAUAUCACGAAGAACUCCGAUUGCGAAGGCAGUUCACUGGACUGCAACUGACACUGAGGCUCGAAAGUGUGGGUAUCAAACAGGAUUAGAUACCCUUGUAGUC
rnacentral:rRNA from 1 species